rnacentral:rRNA from 1 species
GACGAACGCUGGCGGCGUGCUUAACACAUGCAAGUCGAACGGAAAGGCCCUGCUUUUGUGGGGUGCUCGAGUGGCGAAAGGGUGAGUAACACGUGAGUAACCUGCCCUUGACUUUGGGAUAACUUCAGGAAACUGGGGCUAAUACCGGAUAGGAGCUCCUGCUGCAUGGUGGGGGUUGGAAAGUUUCGGCGGUUGGGGAUGGACUCGCGGCUUAUCAGCUUGUUGGUGGGGUAGUGGCUUACCAAGGCUUUGACGGGUAGCCGGCCUGAGAGGGUGACCGGCCACAUUGGGACUGAGAUACGGCCCAGACGCCUACGGGGGGCAGCAGUGGGGAAUAUGGCACAAUGGGCGGAAGCCUGAUGCAGCAACGCCGCGUGCGGGAUGACGGCCUUCGGGUUGUAAACCGCUUUCGCCUGUGACGAAGCGUGAGUGACGGUAAUGGGUAAAGAAGCACCGGCUAACUACGUG